rnacentral:lncRNA from 1 species
UUAGUCAAACCAAGGAUGGAAAAUAUGAAGGAGAUGUAUCUGUCAGAGGGAUGGGUCAGGGAUGACCCAUAUUUAUUCAGAAACAAGCACUCACAAAUAGGGUUGUUUGGUUUUUUUAAUCUGGAGACAGCAAGGACUGAUUUUUGUCACCAGACACUCAUGGGACAAGUCACUGAGAAGAGCACACAGGAAGCAAAAGGGAAUGGAAAACGGUUAAAUAAGGAGGAAUGUCUGCCAUGGGCUGCAGCCGCUUAGGAUACAUUGGGAUCCACAAGAGAAGGGACAAAUAAUGGGUUACAGAGCUCUGGUGCAACCAAAGGGACCCGUUUCCAGUCUUCUUAAUCAAAAUUGCAAUAACUGCAACAGGUGAGACAUGCGUGCUGUGGCCCCGAGACAGCAAACCAGUUCACAGGCUGCGGUUUCCAUAUCGGUUCCUAAAGCUGCUUGUAGGAAAUCACCCAGCCCAAAGAACCUCCUGGGAUCCCAGCCUCUACCUUCCUAUUUCAAAAUGCAUGGGAGAACUUGUCUGGCUUAUUGGGCAGGGAGCUUAAUUGUGAGAAGGCUCUGGAGGACAGUUGGCACUGCAUGAUAGCUAUACCGUUAGCAUGUUACCCGCCCCUGAAAAGGAGAAUCCAAGCUCUCAUCCAUACCCCCAAAUCCUGCCGGCUCACCGGGUACCGAAGCACUCCCACACUUGAGUUGGAGACUUCUCUGCUCAGACAAGGAGGAUUACGGACAUCAUAUGACUAAUUCUGCAAUGACGGUAUAUGCUUAAUUGGUAAAGGACUGCAUUUUGUAUCUUUUUUUAACCUGGGACAUAGCGUCAAAGGUCUGCCUGAUGUUUGAGGUUCAUUUCAGGUAUUUUCUUCAUUGAGAUUCGCUGUACCUAAGGUUACUGUGACCUCCAGCUUUGUCUUGUGCCCUUCAGCACUACUAUGCUUCUUAUUGAUGAGAAACCAGUAUUCAAAUUCCCCUGAAACAUCAGGCUGUGCUGCUCUCGCAGCUCACAGAGAGGCUUCCCUGAACCUCAGGUAUAAAAGCUCUGGCUGUUGCAAAAGCCAGUGGCCAGAAGUCACAAAAAGCAUGAUAUUUACGUAAGUGGACUGUGAUACCAAACUUUAGGCAUUCAUUUUAAUGUCCUGCUUUCAAGAUCUCUGCCUCAGUUUCUCUGUAAAAUGCAAAUACAGCAUUGGUGAUGCUUAGCUCAUUAAAAAAAUAAAUACCUCGCUAACU